GGUGAGAUGGCCGAGCGGUCUAAGGCGCCAGACUAAGGUCGUUACCUGCAAUCUGGUCCUCACGGGCGUGGGUUCGAAUCCCACUCUCAUCA